rnacentral:lncRNA from 1 species
CGGGAAGAGGUGCGGCAAUGUUUCGUCUUCGCGCAAAAUCGGGGCUGUUCUCGGGCAGGGUGGGCUGGAGGCCGUCAGCUGGAUGGUUUGGGUGAAAGGCUUGCUCGGCUGGUUUCCACUUUCCGUGAUGUGGCAAUAGUACUCUGCGCAUGCCUGGGCUGUUGCUAGGGGGUCUCUUCUGCCUCCCGGUGGUCGUCGAGGCUGAAGUAAGACGUCUUCCUCGGGUGUCCUCUUUCUGCCCUUUGGCUCUAGUGAGAAUAUUCCAGGGACAAGUCAUUCUGCUACAAGUCAUGACUUGUAGGACAAGUCAUUCUGCUGACUUCUCCCAGCCCAACUGUUUAAAACACAGCGUGCACACGUAGGAGGAAGCUGAAGGUACAGCUGAAGAUCUGUAGACUUAGAGAAGGUAAGAGUUUGUAAUUUGGCCAUUGUGAUGUCUAACUUUUUGGUCUGGUGUUUGUAUAAAGGCAAAUUAUUUUCUUUGUGAGGUCAAGAGAGCUUUCUUUCAGUGAGUUCUGAAGAGAAU